rnacentral:rRNA from 1 species
GACGAACGCUGGCGGCGUGCUUAACACAUGCAAGUCGAGCGACGCUCUUCCUUCGGGGAGGUGACGGAGCGGCGAACGGGUGAGUAACACGUGGGCAACCUGCCCCUAGCUCUGGGACAACACCGGGAAACCGGUGCUAAUACCGGAUACGACAUCGAGCGGCAUCUCUCGAGGUGGAUAGUUUUUUCGGCUAGGGAUGGGCACGCGGCCUAUCAGCUUGUUGGUGGGGUAAUGGCCCACCAAGGCGACGACGGGUAGCCGGCCUGGGAGGGCGACCGGCCACACUGGGACUGAGGCACGGCCCAGACUCCUACGGGAGGCAGCAGUGGGGUAUAUUGCGCAAUGGGCGAAAGCCUGACGCAGCGACGCCGCGUGAGGGAGGACUGCCGUCGGGUUGUAAACCUCUUUCAGCAGGGACGAAUUCAGACGGUACCUGCAGAAGAAGCACCGGCCAACUACGUG